rnacentral:rRNA from 1 species
GACGAACGCUGGCGGCGUGCUUAACACAUGCAAGUCGAACGGAAAGGCCCUGCUUUUGUGGGGUGCUCGAGUGGCGAACGGGUGAGUAACACGUGAGUAACCUGCCCUUGACUUUGGGAUAACUUCAGGAAACUGGGGCUAAUACCGGAUAGGAGCUCCUGCUGCAUGGUGGGGGUUGGAAAGUUUCGGCGGUUGUGGAUGGACUCGCGGCUUAUCAGCUUGUUGGUGGGGUAGUGGCUUACCAAGGCUUUGACGGGUAGCCGGCCUGAGAGGGUGACCGGCGACAUUGGGACUGAGAUACGCACCAGACGCCUACGGGAGGCAGCAGUGGGGAAUAUUGCAGAAUGGGCGGAAGCCUGAUGCAGCAACGCCGCGUGCGGGAUGACGGCCUUCGGGUUGUAAACCGCUUUCGCCUGUGACGAAGCGUGAGUGACGGUAAUGGGUAAAGAAGCAACGGCUAACUACGUG